AGUUCAGAUCGCAGUCUGCAACUCGACUGCGUGAAGUCGGAAUCGCUAGUAAUCGCGGAUCAGCAUGCCGCGGUGAAUACGUUCCCGGGCCUUGUACACACCGCCCGUCACACCAUGAGAGUUGGGAAUACCCGAAGCCUGUGAGCUAACGAAAGAGGCAGCAGUCGAAGGUAGAAUCAAUGAUUGGGGUGAAGUCGUAACAAGGUAUC
rnacentral:rRNA from 1 species